AUUGCACGCUGGCGGCAGGCCUAACACAUGCAAGUCGAGCGGAGCGGCGGACGGGUGAGUAAUACCUAGGAAUCUGCCUGGUAGUGGGGGAUAACGACCGGAAACGGGCGCUAAUACCGCAUACUCUCAGAUGAGCCACGGUCGAAUUAGGUAGUUGCUGUGGUACAGGCCUACCAAGGCGACGAUCCGUACCUGGUCUGAGAGGAUGAUCAGUCACACUGGAACUGAGACACGGUCCAGACUCCUACGGGAGGCAGCAGUGGGGAAUAUUGGACAAUGGGCGAAAGCCUGAUCCAGCCAUGCCGCGUGUGUGAAGAAGGUCUUCGGAUUGUAAAGCACGUUAAGUUGGGAGGCGUGACCAACAUAAUAAGCACCGGCUAACUUCGUGCCAGCAGCCGCGGUAAUAC
rnacentral:rRNA from 1 species